rnacentral:misc_RNA from 1 species
AUGAGUGGUGAUUGGUUUGUUACGGGUGGUUGGCUCUUUGCUUGCGCAACAACUUCCACCUGGCAUACCUCCUCAGUUAUGCGUCAAGGCUUGUAUAGCCUUGAGCGUAUUGUGGGUUUUUUGUAUUGCAUACCUAAUUGACGGUAUUUUUUUGUUCGAUUGAAGUCCCUUUUCGUCUUGUGUUGCAUUUUGUGACGCAUGAUGAACCUUGAAGUGGUCUCUAUGAUCCAUCUCGUUGAUGCGCAUGCAUUGAUUGUGUGGCACAUUGAGCUUUGCUUGGUUUCUUGGAUACGGAACAUGAUGUGGGCAUGGGGUCUCUCCUGAUCCUUGUUUUGCCCUUGUUUGGUAUUCUCUAAAUGACAGUUCAUGCGCGCCUAGGCUCGUACCUGCGUGAUGUUCUAAGUCGAAGAGGAAUGC